UUAUAAACUAAUAUAUGUGAGAGUACUUGGCUGAAACAAAAAGGAGUUUCAGUAGGGAGAAUUGUACUAUAUUUGAAAAUCAAGAAGUUUAUGCAACUUAAAAUGUUUAUAGACUGCAGUGCCAUCUACUGUUUGUGAAUGUCAACGUAUUAUCAGGAAAAGUGUCUGUACAAUCACAGAGUUUUAUUUCCUCACCAAGUUCUUUACCAAGAGUGAAAUAUGUUUUUAUACCUUUCGGUUUCAGUUAAAGGCAUAUUUUGUGCAAGAUUUCUGUUAAUGUGCCUCUACAUUAUGAAUGAAUUCUUUCAGUCAGACAUUGCCUAAAUCAUAACUUUAUGAUGCUUGGGACAGAAUCAACAGUUGAAGCUUCAUGAAGUUCUAAUGUCUGUGUGCCAAAAUACGUCCCAUUGUUAGGAUGGAGGGAGACAUGCAUGUGUG